UUUUUAAAAUUAUUUCUAGAACUCCUAAAAGCGACAAUGAUUUAGUAAAUAAUUGGUAGCUUCUGUCAAAUUGUUGAUGUGAUGAAAAUUUGAUGAUCUCAUCUUGAAGAAGUCAUGUCAAUCUUUGCGUGCGUCAAUAAUGGGUGGUUGUUAGGACAGGCGGCUAUAUAUUUUUCAAUUUACAAAUUUCGCCUAGAAUUAGUCACUUUCCGUAAUGAUGCCGAUGGAAAUAGGUGACGUCAUGACGAACAUUAAAAUUGAUCGUCAAAAUUCGAUGCCAUGAUCUUAAUUAAUUUGCUAUAAUUUGAAGCAUUGAACAGUAGUUAGGUCUUUGAAACGUUCAUAUAUGUAUAUAUAAUUUGGUAUUGUUUAUUAAUUUGCCAAUUUAAAAACAUUUAAGUUGUUAUCACCUGAUCUUGAAAAUCAGCUCAACCAAGAAGUACAUCUACUGAAUUUAAAAUUUAUUUUACAAUCCCUGACUACAAAAAAAAAAAAAAAAUGAUUCUCAGGAUCUUUUAAAAGGAGACUGCAUGCUAAUUGGUUUAGUAGUCAAGUGAUUUUAAGAGUUACGUAGGUCACUGGAAUUAGUCUUCUACGUACUUUUCAUGGUUGCAUAAGUCUAAAAUUCAAUUCAAUCAAUUAUAAUGUUUUGUCAUUUUCUAUGGUUUUCAUAAAGGUGAGGCUAUAAGCGGGAUUUGAUAAGUGUUUUAUAAAGGUGUGAGGAGCUCAACUCAAGUCUCAAUAGGAAGGCCAUGUGAUGAUGUGAAGUGAACUACAAACCCCCAAGUUUCGAAAAGAAUAGGGGAACACAAGGGACUGAUUUGAAUUUUUUUCUAAAUUUUAUGCAUAUAUUAGUUUGGCCCCCCUAAACUUUAUAUUUAUCCGUUAUGAGCCAAUGAUGUUUCAUAUUCUUCAUUAUGGUCCUCAUUUUUGGCCAUCUGAGUUUUAUUAUUUCAUGUUAUAGCCUGGUCAGAUUUAGGAUUUCUUUGUUAAGACCCUUAUCAAACCAAAAUCUUAAUUCUUCCACUUGUCAUAAUUAUUAUAAAUUUUAGGAGGAAGUUUAUAUUUUUAUUAUUACGUCCCCCAUAUAUUUAUGAGUUCCUCUACUUCAAUAGAUGAGGAACGCCAUGUGAUAUAAUAGCAUUCCUACACUUAAAUAAAGUGUGAGAACCCUCAUUAGAAAAUAAAUUUAUAUGUGUGUGUAUAUAUAUUCUCAUAAUAAUAAUUAUUAUUAUUAUUUCAAAAUUAGUCAAUUAUGAUGUAAUAACAUGCACGAGACGACCUAAUUUUAUUAGAAACUGUUGGUAACCAAAAAAACUUUUUCAAUUUACCUAUUUAAAUUACACAAGGUUAUUGUAACAUUCUAGAUCAAAGAAUAAAAAACAAGGAACAAAGACAGAAUCAAAGAAGCGUCACCGUCAACUCGUAAAUACUCGUUGAGUCAAGUCAAGCAUAUAUUAUUACAGAACUGCCUGCCUUAUCACCGUCCAAAGAAAAUGAACCAUCAUACGAUCAGUGGCGGAUCUAGAAAAAUAAUUUACCGGGGGCUAAAUUAGAUAAUAGUAAAAUAUAAAAAAUUAAAAUUUUGAAUAUAUAA
rnacentral:lncRNA from 1 species